GGAGCAGCUCAGUGGUAAAGUGCAUGCUUUGUGUGUGCGGCGCUCUGGGUUCAAAUCCCAGCUGCUCCC